AUUGAACGCUGGCGGCAGGCCUAACACAUGCAAGUCGAACGAGUGGCGGACGGGUGAGUAAUGUCUGGGAAACUGCCUGAUGGAGGGGGAUAAAUACUGGAAACGGUAGCUAAUACCGCAUACCAUCAGAUGUGCCCAGAUGGGAUUAGCUUGUUGGGGGGGUAACGGCUCACCAAGGCGACGAUCCCUAGCUGGUACGAGAGGAUGACCAGCCACACUGGGACUGAGACAGGGUACAUACUCCUACGGAAGGCAGCAGUGGUGAAUAUUGCACAAUGGGCGCAAGCCUGAGGAAGCCAUGCCGCGUGUAUGAAGAAGGCAUUCGGGUUGUAAAGUACUUUCAGCGGGGAGGCGUUACCCGCAGAAGAAGCACCGGCUAACUCCGUGCCAGCCGCCGCGGUAAUAC
rnacentral:rRNA from 1 species